rnacentral:tRNA from 1 species
GGGCAUGUGCCUGCAUUGGAUACAGGACGCACAGCGCUUAAGUGGGUUCGAAUCCCACCUUGCCCGCCA